rnacentral:rRNA from 1 species
GUGCAAAGGUAGCAUAAUCAUUAGGGGUUUAAUUGGAACCUGGUAUGAAGGGUUGGACAAAGGAAAAGCUGUCUUUAUAUUAUAAGUUGAAUUUUACUUUUAAGUGAAAAGGCUUAAAUAAGUCAAAGGGACGAUAAGACCCUAUAAAGCUUUAUAAAUUAUUUAAAUUUAGUUAAUUUAAAAUAUAAAAAUUAAUUUUACAUUAUUUUAUUUUAUUGGGGCGAUAUGAGUAUAAUUAUUAUUAACUGCUUAAAAAAGAAACAAGUUUAAAUGAAUAAUUGAAUUAAAUGAUCCUUUUUAAAGAUUAGAAGACUAAGUUACUUUAGGGAUAACAGCGUUAUUUCUUUUGAGAGUUCAUAUCGAAAAAGAAGAUUGCGACCUCGAUGUUGAAUUAAAAUAUCUAUAUAAUGCAGUCGUUAUAAAAGAGGGUCUGUU